rnacentral:lncRNA from 1 species
UUUGGCUAAGAUCAAGUGUAGUAUCUGUUCUUAUCAGUUUAAUAUCUGAUACGUGGGUCAAUGGCCCACACGAUAUUAAAUUAAUUUCUUUAAGGGGAGGGUCCACUAUAAUAGCUUGCUAUUGGGGCUCUCACGUGUCGCCCAAGCGUUGCACUGCAGCGUGGGCCUGGCGCACCCCAACAAAUCUAGUUGAAUAUUUUUGCAGACAUAUUUUAUUUUGAUUUUCUGUUCCUGUGGUGGCCCAAAAUCAUGGCCUUUUUUAUUUUGUCCUCGUAGACAUGUCGGGGGGGUCUCCUCAUGGACCAUGGAAGAUCCUGGCAAAACAUACACUUUGAAGAGAAGUAUGAUCCUCUUUAAACCAAACUAACCUAAAACAUUUUAAAAUAUGAAUAAUACUAGUCUUAC